UACGGAGGGUGCAAGCGUUAUCCGGAUUCACUGGGUUUAAAGGGUGCGUAGGUGGGCUGGUAAGUCAGUGGUGAAAUCUCCAGGCUUAACUUGGAAACUGCCAUUGAUACUAUCAGUCUUGAAUACCGUGGAGGUCAGCGGAAUAUGUCAUGUAGCGGUGAAAUGCUUAGAUAUGACAUAGAACACCAAUUGCGAAGGCAGCUGGCUACA
rnacentral:rRNA from 1 species